GCGGGUUUAGCUCAGUUGGGAGAGCGUCAGACUGAAGUCCCACUUCAUUCCAUUUGAGGAGCUUGCUCCAUCAAACAAUCUGAAGGUCAUGUGUUCGAUCCACAUAAACCGCA